rnacentral:rRNA from 1 species
CGCGUAGGCGGCGAACCAAGUCAGGGGUGAAAUCCCGGGGCUCAAACCCCGGAACUGCCCUUUGAAACUAGUUUGCUAGAAUCUUGGAGAGGUCAGUGGAAUUCCGAGUGUAGAGGUGAAAUUCGUAGAUAUUCGGAAGAACACCAGUGGCGAAGGCGACUGACUGGACAAGUAUUGACGCUGAGGUGCGAAAGCGUGGGGAGCAAACA